rnacentral:rRNA from 1 species
AUUGAACGCUGGCGGCAGGCCUAACACAUGCAAGUCGAACGAGUGCCGGACGGGUGAGUAAUGUCUGGGAAACUGCCCGAUGGAGGGGGAUAACUACUGGAAACGGUAGCUAAUACCGCAUCGCAUCGGACGUGCCCAGAUGGGAUUAGCUUGUAGGUGAGGUAACGGCCCACCUAGGCGACGAUCCCUAGCUGGUCUGAGAGGCUGACCAGCCACAAUGGAACUGAGACACGGUCCAGAGUCGUACGGGGACCAGCAUUGGGGAAUAUUCCACAAUGGGCGCAAGCCGGAUGAAGCCAUGCCGCGUGUAUGAAGAAGGACUUCGGGUUUUAAAGUACUUUCAGCGGGGAGGCGUUACCCGCAGAAGAAGCACCGGCUAACUCCGUGCCAGCAGCCGCGGUAAUAC